AUUGGACGCUGGCGGCAGGCCUAACACAUGCAAGUCGAGCGGAUGAAGGGAGCUUGCUCCUGGAUUCAGCGGCGGACGGGUGAGUAAUGCCUAGGAAUCUGCCUGGUAGUGGGGGAUAACGUCCGGAAACGGGCGCUAAUACCGCAUACGUCCUGAGGGAGAAAGUGGGGGAUCUUCGGACCUCACGCUAUCAGAUGAGCCUAGGUCGGAUUAGCUAGUUGGUGGGGUAAAGGCCUACCAAGGCGACGAUCCGUAACUGGUCUGAGAGGAUGAUCAGUCACACUGGAACUGAGACACGGUCCAGACUCCUACGGGAGGCAGCAGUGGGGAAUAUUGGACAAUGGGCGAAAGCCUGAUCCAGCCAUGCCGCGUGUGUGAAGAGGGUCUUCGGAUUGUAAAGCACUUUAAGUUGGGAGGAAGGGCAGUAAGUUAAUACCUUGCUGUUUUGACGUUACCAACAGAAUAAGCACCGGCUAACUUCGUG
rnacentral:rRNA from 1 species